ACGUUAGUUACAUGGCGCGCCUAACACAUGCAAGUCGAACGGUAACAGGAAAUAGCUUGCUAUUUUGCUGACGAGUGGCGCACGGGUGCGUAACGCGUAUACAAUCUACCUUUUGCUGAGGGAUAGCCCAGAGAAAUUUGGAUUAAUACCUCAUGGUAUUAUUGAUAGGCAUCUAUUAAUAAUUAAAGGUUACGGCAAAAGAUGAGUAUGCGUCCCAUUAGCUAGUUGGUGAAGUAACGGUUCACCAAGGCAACGAUGGGUAGGGGUCCUGAGAGGGAGAUCCCCCACACUGGUACUGAGACACGGACCAGACUCCUACGGGAGGCAGCAGUGAGGAAUAUUGGACAAUGGGCGAGAGCCUGAUCCAGCCAUGCCGCGUGCAGGAAGACUGCCCUAUGGGUUGUAAACUGCUUUUAUA
rnacentral:rRNA from 1 species